AUUUAGUUGAUGAGUCUAAAAUAGGACGAAACAUAAGUCCUUGAU
rnacentral:hammerhead_ribozyme from 1 species